GAUUCCUACGGGAGGCAGCAGUGGGGAAUAUUGCACAAUGGGCGCAAGCCUGAUGCAGCGACGCCGCGUGAGGGAUGACGGCCUUCGGGUUGUAAACCUCUUUCAGCAGGGCAGAAGCCACAAGUGACGGUACCUGCAGAAGAAGCGCCGGCUAACUACGUGCCAGCAGCCGCGGUAAUACGUAGGGCGCAAGCGUUGUCCGGAAUUAUUGGGCGUAAAGAGCUCGUAGGCGGUUUGUCGCGUCUGCUGUGAAAGCCCGGGGCUCAACCCCGGGUCUGCAGUGGGUACGGGCAGACUAGAGUGCAGUAGGGGAGACUGGAAUUCCUGGUGUAGCGGUGAAAUGCGCAGAUAUCAGGAGGAACACCGAUGGCGAAGGCAGGUCUCUGGGCUGUUACUGACGCUGAGGAGCGAAAGCAUGGGGAGCGAACAGGAUUAGAUACCCUGGUAGUCCAUGCCGUAAACGUUGGGCACUAGGUGUGGGGGACAUUCCACGUUCUCCGCGCCGUAGCUAACGCAUUAAGUGCCCCGCCUGGGGAGUACGGCCGCAAGGCUAAAACUCAAAUGAAUUGACGGA
rnacentral:rRNA from 1 species